AGCUGUAGAAAAGAGUUACAACUGUGUGCCCAGUUUGCUACAGCCAUAGGCCGGAGAAGUAACACUAGACUAACAUCUGCGAAGCAUGGGACCCAUGGAGGGGAGGUCGGAGAGGGUAUUAGGCCCUUCAGAAGGUUCAGAGG